GACAGCGAAAUAGCAAACAUUUCUUGAUUUGAUCACAGAAUAGAUACCGGACCAGAAGUGUCACUCCUAUUUGUUUUGGCUGAAGGAAAACGUCCGAAAUUUUUUUUACGUGCUAUGACGCCAUCCUGGAGUGCACCCGGCACUUUGUACCUAUGUUUUCCUAUGAAAAACUUCCGUGUGCACUCCAGGAUGGCGUCAUAUGAUGGCGUAUUUUCACGUCAGCACUCGUAAAAUUUCGGACAAAAUAUCGUCUGAGUGACACUUCUGGUCCUGUAUCUAUUCUGUGCUCGAGUCGACCUUCUGUGUACCUUAUUCUGUGGUCAUGAGGAAUAAUUCAAACUGCCAACCUCGUUCCCAGGGCCUGUUUUGAAAGGCCCUGGGAACGAGGUUGUCAAACUGCGUGUAAAAUAAAACAACGAGGAAAACAUGUAAAGAUAUAUGUAUAAAAUUGUAAAUUCUUUAAGAGAUUAUAUAUACUAUAGAUGAUUUAUAUUGUAGAUUUAUUUAUAUUUUAAUGAUAAAUAAAAAUAUUUGUACGGUUAAUUGGUGUUUGCUUUCAAUAGUGAUAUAUACGAGCGAAAAUACAGUCAAUUUGCAAUAUAGCUUAUUUAGGCUUAGCUUUCAACCCUCUGCUUGUACGAGUCGAUCGCGACUUAUUUUAGCCGCGGCUAAUUUCCGCUCGUAUAAAUGGCCCCAAUUUAAUCAUGGAUUGUUAAAAAAAUAGUGUUUUUUCGUGCUUUAAUUUUACAAUACAUGAUUUAAUUAAGUUUGCGUGAUUGC
rnacentral:lncRNA from 1 species